ensembl:piRNA 21ur-6275 ncRNA
UUGGUGCCUGCUAUUAGAAUC